rnacentral:lncRNA from 1 species
AUUUAAAAAGAAAAUAUGCUGGAAUGAUUAAAAAUACCUAACUUAUUUUUAUUUUCCUUAGCUUUUAUGUCUAGGAUUUCUUCUGCCAUGAGAAUUGGAAGAAUGACUUUUUUUUCCCUGAGAAAAACCUUUCUGAUGCAGCAAAACCAAAAUGUUCACAUGCCAAUGUGUGUGUUCCUCCACACUGUCCAGAAGGUACUAAAGGGAGAAAGCAGGAAAGCCACAGAGCUAAUAGCAGCCCCAGAUGUUGUGCAAGAAGCUGUGUGUGAGCUGCAGGAAGAGAUCCAG